rnacentral:rRNA from 1 species
UACGAAGGGGGCGAGCGUUGUUCGGAAUUACUGGGCGUAAAGGGCGCGUAGGCGGCCGAUCAAGUCAGAUGUGAAAGUCCUGGGCUUAACCUGGGGACUGCAUUUGAUACUGAUUGGCUUGAAUUCGGGAGAGGAUAGCGGAAUUCCCAGUGUAGAGGUGAAAUUCGUAGAUAUUGGGAAGAACACCGGUGGCGAAGGCGGCUCACUGGCCCGAUACUGACGGCUGAGGCACGAAAGCGUGGGGAGCAAACAGG